GGUGUUCCUGGUUCUCAAGGCUUCAGACUCAGACCAGUACUUAUGACAUCAGCUCCCCUAGUUCUCAGCCUAUCAGACUUGGACUGAACUAUACCACUGGCUUUCCUGGUUCUGCAGUUUGCAGAUGGCAAAUCAUAGGACUUCUCAGCCUCUAUCUUUGUAGAGAUGAAAUAGCAGAAGAAGCUGCUUCUGAAGAGCAGGGCAAACAUGUUGCACAGCCAAGUUUAUCUCAUCCUGAACAGAAGCCACUGGAACAGUAAACAGACAAUUGGCUGCAGACCCCAAAUAACAAAGAAAUACAGAAGCAAAAUUUCAAAGUAAGGUGAGUGAUAACAAUCAGUGCUUUCCUUUUAACUCUGAGAGCCUAAUCUCUGACUUUCUUCUAUAAUGUUUACUUAUUUUUGAGACAGAGAGAGGCAGAGUGUGAGUGGGGAGGGGCAGAGAG